GAUGAACGCUGGCGGCGUGCUUAACACAUGCAAGUCGAACGGAAAGGCCCAAGCUUGCUUGGGUACUCGAGUGGCGAACGGGUGAGUAACACGUGGGUGAUCUGCCCUGCACUUCGGGAUAAGCCUGGGAAACUGGGUCUAAUACCGGAUAGGACGAUGGUUUGGAUGCCAUUGUGGAAAGUUUUUUCGGUGUGGGGUGAGCUCGCGGCGUAUCAGCUUGUGGGUGGGGUAAUGGCCUACCAAGGCGUCGACGGGUAGCCGGCCUGAGAGGGUGUACGGCCACAUUGGGAGUGAGAUACGGCCCAGACUCCUACGGGAGGCAGCAGUGGGGAAUAUUGCACAAUGGGCGCAAGCCUGAUGCAGCGAAGCCGCGUGGGGGAUGACGGCCUUCGGGUUGUAAACUCCUUUCGCUAGGGACGAAGCGUUUUUGUGACGGUACCUGGAGAAGAAGCACCGGCUAACUACGUG
rnacentral:rRNA from 1 species